rnacentral:rRNA from 1 species
UGCGUAGGCGGGGCAAUUAGUCAGUGGUGAAAUCCUGCGGCUUAACCGUAGAACUGCCAUUGAUACUGUUGCCCUUGAGUAUAGUUGAGGUGGGCGGAAUGUGUAGUGUAGCGGUGAAAUGCAUAGAGAUUACACAGAACACCAAUUGCGAAGGCAGCUCACUAAGCUAUAACUGACGCUGAGGCACGAAAGCGUGGGGAGCGAACAGGAUUAGAUACCCUGGUAGUCC